rnacentral:rRNA from 1 species
UACGGAGGGUGCGAGCGUUGUUCGGAAUUAUUGGGCGUAAAGCGCACGUAGGCGGCUCGAUAAGUCUCACUGUGAAAGCCCGGGGCUCAACCCCGGGAGGCCAGGGGAUACUGUCGAGCUGGAGACAGGCAGAGGCUGGUGGAAUUCCGGGUGUAGCGGUGGAAUGCGUAGAGAUCCGGAGGAACACCGGAGGCGAAGGCGGCCAGCUGGGCCUGAUCUGACGCUGAGGUGCGAAAGCGUGGGGAGCGAACAGG